rnacentral:ncRNA from 1 species
UGAAGUAGAGGUUGCAUUAUUUAUGAGUAGUCUGGGGAAUGCCGCGGCGGGCAGUUGAAACCGGAUUAAAGGAAAUGAUGCCGAAGUGGUAUAUUUGCCGGAAUAUACUGCUGGGCGUAAAGCUAAUAGCUUUGCGACUGUCAUCAAUUUGAUGGGGAGCUACG